UUCCUCAGAUGGUUCCUCUUCAGAUCGUAUAAAUCUUUCGCCUUUUACUAAAGAUUUCCAUGGAGAGGAACAGCCAUGGGGAAAUAAGUACAUUUGGAAGGUAGGUAGUUUGGUACAGUAACUACCC
rnacentral:snRNA from 1 species